UCAGGAUGAACGCUGGCGGCGUGCCUAAUACAUGCAAGUCGAGCGAACAGAUGAGAAGCUUGCUUCUCUGAUGUUAGCGGCGGACGGGUGAGUAACACGUGGGUAACCUACCUAUAAGACUGGGAUAACUCCGGGAAACCGGGGCUAAUACCGGAUAAUAUUUUGAACCGCAUGGUUCAAUAGUGAAAGACGGUUUCGGCUGUCACUUAUAGAUGGACCCGCGCCGUAUUAGCUAGUUGGUAAGGUAAUGGCUUACCAAGGCGACGAUACGUAGCCGACCUGAGAGGGUGAUCGGCCACACUGGAACUGAGACACGGUCCAGACUCCUACGGGAGGCAGCAGUAGGGAAUCUUCCGCAAUGGGCGAAAGCCUGACGGAGCAACGCCGCGUGAGUGAUGAAGGUCUUCGGAUCGUAAAACUCUGUUGUUAGGGAAGAACAAAUUUGUUAGUAACUGAACAAGUCUUGACGGUACCUAACCAGAAAGCCACGGCUAACUACGUGCCAGCAGCCGCGGUAAUACGUAGGUGGCAAGCGUUAUCCGGAAUUAUUGGGCGUAAAGCGCGCGUAGGCGGUUUCUUAAGUCUGAUGUGAAAGCCCACGGCUCAACCGUGGAGGGUCAUUGGAAACUGGGAAACUUGAGUGCAGAAGAGGAGAGUGGAAUUCCAUGUGUAGCGGUGAAAUGCGCAGAGAUAUGGAGGAACACCAGUGGCGAAGGCGGCUCUCUGGUCUGUAACUGACGCUGAUGUGCGAAAGCGUGGGGAUCAAACAGGAUUAGAUACCCUGGUAGUCCACGCCGUAAACGAUGAGUGCUAAGUGUUAGGGGGUUUCCGCCCCUUAGUGCUGCAGCUAACGCAUUAAGCACUCCGCCUGGGGAGUACGACCGCAAGGUUGAAACUCAAAGGAAUUGACGGGGACCCGCACAAGCGGUGGAGCAUGUGGUUUAAUUCGAAGCAACGCGAAGAACCUUACCAAAUCUUGACAUCCUUUGACCGCUCUAGAGAUAGAGUCUUCCCCUUCGGGGGACAAAGUGACAGGUGGUGCAUGGUUGUCGUCAGCUCGUGUCGUGAGAUGUUGGGUUAAGUCCCGCAACGAGCGCAACCCUUAAGCUUAGUUGCCAUCAUUAAGUUGGGCACUCUAGGUUGACUGCCGGUGACAAACCGGAGGAAGGUGGGGAUGACGUCAAAUCAUCAUGCCCCUUAUGAUUUGGGCUACACACGUGCUACAAUGGAUAAUACAAAGGGCAGCGAAUCCGCGAGGCCAAGCAAAUCCCAUAAAAUUAUUCUCAGUUCGGAUUGUAGUCUGCAACUCGACUACAUGAAGCUGGAAUCGCUAGUAAUCGUAGAUCAGCAUGCUACGGUGAAUACGUUCCCGGGUCUUGUACACACCGCCCGUCACACCACGAGAGUUUGUAACACCCGAAGCCGGUGGAGUAACCUUUUAGGAGCUAGCCGUCGAAGGGGGACAAU
rnacentral:rRNA from 2 species